CCUACGGGGGGCAGCAGUGGGGAAUAUUGGACAAUGGGGGGAACCCUGAUCCAGCCAUGCCGCGUGUGUGAAGAAGGCCCUCGGGUUGUAAAGCACUUUCAGUGAGGAAGAACGCCUGGUGGUGAAUACCCAUCAGGAAAGACAUCACUCACAGAAGAAGCACCGGCUAACUCCGUGCCAGCAGCCGCGGUAAUACGGAGGGUGCGAGCGUUAAUCGGAAUUACUGGGCGUAAAGCGCGCGUAGGUGGCUUGAUAAGCCGGUUGUGAAAGCCCCGGGCUCAACCUGGGAACGGCAUCCGGAACUGUCAAGCUAGAGUGCAGGAGAGGAAGGUAGAAUUCCCGGUGUAGCGGUGAAAUGCGUAGAGAUCGGGAGGAAUACCAGUGGCGAAGGCGGCCUUCUGGACUGACACUGACACUGAGGUGCGAAAGCGUGGGUAGCAAACAGGAUUAGAUACCCCUGUAGUC
rnacentral:rRNA from 1 species